GAAAAGUUACAUUGUUAAUUGGGGAGGGAUUGUUUACAACAAACACUGGAUUACAUUAAUGUCAUCUCUGUAUGUCAUCUCCCCAGGAUAAAAUAUGUCGCUGUUUAAACUUGACUAUGUCCCCAGGGGAAUGUGGCUUUCCUCAUCAUUACAUUAAAGGCCUGAGGUCCCUGCUCCCUGCUUAUGAUUCCUUGGAGGGCCUCGUCGAUGAACUGAUCCUUAAUCUGCAGGAGUUGAAUCAGAGAGCUCAGAUGAAAAUUACAGUGUGUUCGAGGCCUGUGAUGAGUAAACCCAUCCUAACAACAAAUGACCUCGCUGAGGCACUAGAAGAACUGAAGCAAAAAAUCAACUCAAGGAAUAAUACCACUGGUUAAAAUCGUCAGAGGCAGUAACCUUCUGCUGGUAAUACUUGUACACUGUAUGGCAGCAGUAUGUAUUUGUGAUUUUAAUUUGUUGAUGUUGACAUUGAUGAAAAUUUGCCAAUGUAUUAUUUUUGACUUAUUUAUUUUUAUUUAUUAUCAGUUUUUGAUUAUGUCAAGGAAAUAUGCUCAUAAAACCUAUCCAAUUGAUGUUAUUGCCCUCAAAAUGGGAUGAAUGUUGAAAAACACUUUAUAUAUUUGAAGUUUAAAAAUGUACAGUGUUUAUUUGAAUAAACAACAAUAAUUAUAAUGCAUAAAGACUGAGCUAUGUUGCACAAGGAUUUACCUGUGUUGUAAAAGUGCAACUAAACUUACAUAUAUCCUCCUAAUCAAGCUUUUUUUUCUUAGUGCUCUGUUACUCACAAAAUCUGAUUAUCAUUGUCAAGAAUCCAGUAUGUCCAAGACUUUUGCCAAGUUGGUAUGAUUAUUUCCUACCAUAAAUAU